AUCUCUCUGAACACUAUGGAAGGGCACCUUCCAGGUGCCUAAAGAUAUGGCACAGGGUUCAGGCUUGCCUAUCAUCCUCCCGGGGCCACCAGCACAACAUGAUCCCACCACUCCCUACAAACACAAAAUGAUGUGACCUGUCUCCUUCUAGAAAGGAUCAAUCCACUCUGUCCUUUCUCCUACACGGUGUAUUACCCAGGCAUCUUGUUCCACCUCUAAGGGGCCGUCCUCCCUAAACACAGACUCAGGGUGCCAUAGCCAUCCCCAGGUGUGAUGUCCUUGGGGACAUCCAGUCUUCCCUCCCUCCUCAACAUCAGCCCUAUCAACUGUCCCCGGGGCAGUAUCAAAUUUGAAUUCCUAAGGAGUUGAGGCAUGGCAGACUCAGAUAAUGCCCCCAUCCCUAUAGGCUUACCUCCAUUUGAAGCCAUCCCCUCAGGCUGGGCACUGACCACCGCUGUCUGGCAGUUUCCGCAAUGAGAAAAGCCAAGGGUAAGACCCAGAGAGUGACUUGGCUCAGCAGAUGCUCCUGAGUCCAACUGAAGCAGUUAAAAUUUGAAUGUAAACAGGUUUUUGGAACAUAGGACCCCAGACAUUCUGCAGAGGGGGAGGGGCAGUGGGCAGCUGGUAGGGGUGGGGGACAUUCUGUGAAGGGCUUCAGCCAUUAGGCAAGAACCUGAGUUUCCCUUCCAACUGGAAGGCAGCAGCAGAGAUGGCAUGUGCCUCUUUAGGCAACUUUUAAAUUGUCCUUCUGACUCACAGCAAAAGCUUCUACCUGAUGUCCCCUUUACUUCCAUUCUUUAUCAACAGACCUACUUUUGUGCCAGUCAACCCAUGCUCCUUCCCACUUUGGCUCUUUCCCAGUCUUGACGAGUUUCAACAGUGGCCUCACUUCGUGAACAAAAUUCAAAACACAUCUUCAGUCUGAGAAACACAGGGGUUCUUACGAAGGCAAGGGGACUGGGUGUUUGAAAUCAGAAUGGUCUCAGCCGAUCCAGACUAUUAGGUGGCUGUGUGCUUAUCAUUGUUUAGGAAGCAAUCCUUGUACCCCAGGUACAUGCAGCCCUCUUCUGCUGUGCAACUCUACCUCAAUCUUAGCUGAGAAGAUCAACGGAGAGCAAUUCAAGCAAAAUCAUGGUAAACUUACCAAAACAAAACAAAACAAACCAUAAACGCUUUGGAGAUCUUUCUGAGGACUUGAUCUUUUACCAUGGGGCAAACUUAAAUGAUUUUCAAUCAAUAACUUCAUCUAAGAGGGAUGUUGAAGCAAAAUACCAUACUCAGAUACUGAAGAAGGGCAGAAUUUUUGGUUGCUUCCUCCCUUGUCAAGUCAGUCAACUGAUGGUUUCUCAAGAUUGUCACACAUGGCUUUGAUACAGGAUUUGAAUGAGACUUUUUCUGAGCCAGUGAUACAAAAAAUAUAUUGUGGAAGUGUCUUAAUUCUGCAAUUGCUUCUGUACAUGUUUGAAGUCCUAGACCCCAGGAGGAGAGACAAUCAAAUUAGCCAAAGGUAAUUUGUGAAGACUGGCCAUGGGAGGUGGUGGCUAAAAGUCCUCUGGCCCCUGCUCUGUGAGCAUCCCCACAGAAAGUCCUUGGCCGCACUGACAGCUGAGAAAGAACAUCUCAGGGCUUCGAUCCCCUGUUCAGAGGACACAUGCUCCUCCACCCAGUAGAGGAAUGGCAGCUCCAUGCUGUGUCCUGCAGAGCUCUCAGUCUCUGCACUUGAGGCCCUGGGCCUGCAUCAACGUGAAGGCUCUUCAGUGUUAUCACGUGGAGACAGACGAUAGGAAUCCUGCAAAUGAGCAGAAAGGAUGUACGAUUAAAGUUUUUUCUGAAGCUGUUACAAACUUAAGUCAGUGAAUUGCUUCUCUACUAGUUUUUUAUUGCCAACUGGAAUUCUGCACUGUGUUGCAGAGUCAGGGGUGGGGAGCGUGGAAUUGUUCCCUUACUAUCUGCUGCUUUAUCGACUGAAAUUGAUCAAGGCUACAACAAAAACAUUUCUAGAAAUCAUUUGAAUGCGGUAGGAAAAACUCUGGGAAUGGAGUCAGAAGAAAGUAUAUUUUGGAGUGUGUUUUCAGGUCUAAAAUUAUUUGCCAGAAAUAUUCUUCAAUGGAACCUCCAGACUGAGUAGGAAAACAGGGCAUACUAUUUUUUGAAAGGCAUGAGCAGGAAUGAAAUAAAUGCCGUCCAAAGGGAAUGCAAGACAUGCAAUUCGAGGAUACCUUGCUUUAGGAUAAACCCUCCAAAGGAUUUAAACCUCAGACACAGGGAGCUGACCUAUUCACCUUAGAAUCCUCUGGGGCACCCAUUACAGUGUCUGUACCAAGGAGGCAACAAAGAACGGCAGAACAGACUGGAGCAGAAGGACAACCCAGCAGAGCCAAGCCAAAUCACUGACCCUCAGAGGCCUGAUGUGAAUGCUUCUGGCUUCAGUCCAUUGGAUUCUGCAGUAAUCUGCCGAUCUACAGUAUUACCACAGUAAAUAACCGAUAGACCUGAAAACGAAUGCAUGCCUCGUGCCAAAAUUGCAGGAAACCUCACCAGCAGAAACAAUUUUAUAUGAGGGAAUGUACUCUCUCCUUUGCAUUUUUCCUCAAAUCUAUAUUUUUAGCCCCUCACUUGUCUCUACAGAGCCUCAGUUGCUUAAUCUAAUUGCUGACUGAACAUCUCCAGGAAACUGUGUGUACGUGUUUGUAUUCAUAGUAUAUUUAUUUAUUAUCUGUUUACUUCCAUGGGAUAUAGUCUCCGUAAGAGAGUAGUCAUCAUUGUAUUUGUUGAUGCUUAAUAAAUAAUCAUUGAAUGGGCCGGCUGUGGUGGCUCAUGCCUGUAAUCCCAGCACUUUGGGAGGCCGAGGUGGGCGGGUCACAAGGUCAGCAGAUUGAGACAAUCCUGGCUAACAUGGUGAAACCCUAUCUCUACUAAAAAUACAAAAAAUUAGCUGGGCGUGGUGGUGGGUGCCUGUAGUCCCAGCUACUCUGGAGGCUGAGGCAGGGGAAUGGCGUGAAC
rnacentral:lncRNA from 1 species